rnacentral:rRNA from 1 species
GUACACGCUGUGACUAGCAUAUCAAUAAGCGGAGGAAAAGAAACUAACAAGGAUUCCCUUAGUAACGGCGAGUGAGGCGGGAAGAGCUCAAAUUUGAAAUCUUCAAGGUUUUACCGUGACGAAUUGUAGUUUAAAGAAGUGUUUUCUGCUGAAGUUUUGGUAAAAGUUCUUUGGAAUAGGACAUCAUAGAGGGUGAGAAUCCCGUAUUUGACCAUUAUUUUCAGCUUUGUGAUACACUUUCAAAGAGUCGGAUUGUUUGGGAAUGCAGUCCAAAAUGGGUGGUAAAUUUCUUCUAAGGCUAAAUAUUGGCGAGAGACCGAUAGCGAACAAGUACCGUGAGGGAAAGAUGAAAAGAACUUUGAAAAGAGAGUUAAACAGUACGUGAAAUUGUCAAAAGGGAAGCGUUUGACACCAGUGUUGUUUUCUCGAAAAUCAAUUAAAAAGAGUUGGAUUUUGUGUUGUAUUGACCUUAACAGCUUUCUUCACUCUUUUCCUGCUUUUUUUAAUGCACUUUUCGUUUAACAAGUCAACAUCAGUUUCUUUUGUUGUAAAAGGGUCAUUGGAAGGUGGCUUUCUUUUCGGAGAAAGUGUUUAUAGCCUUUGGCCUCUGCAAUCGGAGAGACUGAGGUCUGCAGCGUAGACUCUUCGGGGUUAGAUACAUUUGUGCUAAGUUAUAGCUUUUUAUAGACAACUUGUUGACUAUAAUUAGUCUUGUAGCUUACUCGCUUAUGCUAUUUUACCUACGCUUAGGAUGUUGAACUACUGAGACAUAGA